CCUACGGGAGGCAGCAGUGAGGAAUAUUGGUCAAUGGACGAGAGUCUGAACCAGCCAAGUAGCGUGAAGGAUGACUGCCCUAUGGGUUGUAAACUUCUUUUAUAUGGGAAUAAAAUGUUCCACGUGUGGGAUUUUGUAUGUACCAUAUGAAUAAGGAUCGGCUAACUCCGUGCCAGCAGCCGCGGUACUACGGAGGAUCCGAGCGUUAUCCGGAUUUAUUGGGUUUAAAGGGAGCGUAGGUGGAUUGUUAAGUCAGUUGUGAAAGUUUGCGGCUCAACCGUAAAAUUGCAGUUGAAACUGGCAGUCUUGAGUACAGUAGAGGUGGGCGGAAGUCGUGGUGUAGCGGUGAAAUGCUUAGAUAUCACGAAGAACUCCGAUUGCGAAGGCAGUUCACUGGACUGCAACUGACACUGAGGCUCGAAAGUGUGGGUAUCAAACAGGAUUAGAUACCCGAGUAGUC
rnacentral:rRNA from 1 species